rfam:Felis catus isolate Cinnamon breed Abyssinian chromosome B4, whole genome shotgun sequence.
GCCUGGGUGGCUCAGUCGGUUGAGCGUCCGACUUCGGCUCAGGUCACGAUCUCUCGGUCUGUGAGUUCGAGCCCCACAUCGGGCU